rnacentral:rRNA from 1 species
UACGGAGGGUGCAAGCGUUAUCCGGAUUUAUUGGGCGUAAAGGGCGUGUAGGCGGGAUGGUAAGUCAGAUGUGAAAACUAUGGGCUCAACCCAUAGCCUGCAUUUGAAACUAUCGUUCUUGAGUGUUGGAGAGGCAGGCGGAAUUCCGUGUGUAGCGGUGAAAUGCAUAGAUAUCACGCAGAACUCCGAUGGCGAAGGCAGCGUACCGGCGCCCAACUGACGCUGAGGCGCGAAGGCGUGGGUAUCGAACAGG